rnacentral:rRNA from 1 species
UACAGAGGGUGCAAGCGUUAUCCGGAUUUAUUGGGCGUAAAGCGUUUCGUAGGCCGGUUUGUAAGUUACUUUUUAAAGACCACGGCUCAACCGGGGGAAGGGAAGUAAUACUGCAAAUCUUGAAGAAUGAUGGGGCUUCUGGAACUGAUGGUGUAGUAGUGAAAUACGUUGAUAUCAUCAGGAACUCCGAGGGCGAAGGCAGGAAGCUAAUCAUUAUUUGACGCUGAGGAACGACAGCUAGGGGAGCGAAAGGG